rnacentral:rRNA from 1 species
CUUCCGUAGGGUGACCUGCGGAAGGAUCAUUACCUAGAGUUGUAGGCUUUGCCUGCUAUCUCUUACCCAUGUCUUUUGAGUACCUUACGUUUCCUCGGUGGGUUCGCCCACCGAUUGGACAAAUUUAAACCCUUUGCAGUUGAAAUCAGCGUCUGAAAAAAACUUAAUAGUUACAACUUUCAACAACGGAUCUCUUGGUUCUGGCAUCGAUGAAGAACGCAGCGAAAUGCGAUAAGUAGUGUGAAUUGCAGAAUUCAGUGAAUCAUCGAAUCUUUGAACGCACAUUGCGCCCCUUGGUAUUCCAUGGGGCAUGCCUGUUCGAGCGUCAUUUGUACCUUCAAGCUCUGCUUGGUGUUGGGUGUUUGUCUCCUGUAGACUCGCCUCAAAACAAUUGGCAGCCGGCGUAUUGAUUUCGGAGCGCAGUACAUCUCGCGCUUUGCACUCAUAACGACGACAUCCAAAAGUACAUUUUUACACUCUUGACCUCGGAUCAGGUAGGGAUACCCGCUGAACUUAAGCAUAUCAAUAAGCGGAGGAAA